ACCAGACUCCUACGGGAGGCAGCAGUGAGGAAUAUUGGUCAAUGGGCGGGAGCCUGAACCAGCCAAGUCGCGUGAGGGAAGACGGUCCUAUGGAUUGUAAACCUCUUUAGGCGGGGAGCAAUGCCGGGCACGCGUGCCCGGAGGGAGAGUACCCGCAGAAUAAGCUCCGGCUAACUACGUGCCAGCAGCCGCGGUAAUACGUAGGGAGCAAGCGUUAUCCGGAUUUAUUGGGUGUAAAGGGUGCGUAGACGGGAAAACAAGUUAGUUGUGAAAUCCCUCGGCUUAACUGAGGAACUGCAACUAAAACUAUUUUUCUUGAGUGUUGGAGAGGAAAGUGGAAUUCCUAGUGUAGCGGUGAAAUGCGUAGAUAUUAGGAGGAACACCAGUGGCGAAGGCGACUUUCUGGACAAUAACUGACGUUGAGGCACGAAAGUGUGGGGAGCAAACAGGAUUAGAUACCCCCGUA
rnacentral:rRNA from 1 species